rnacentral:rRNA from 1 species
UACGUAGGGGGCUAGCGUUGUCCGGAAUCAUUGGGCGUAAAGCGCGCGUAGGCCGCCCGGUAAGUCCGCUGUAAAAGUCAAAGGCUCAACCUUUGAAUGUCAGUGGAUACUGCCGGGCUAGAGUCCGGAAGAGGCGAGUGGAACUCCUGGUGUAGCGGUGGAAUGCGCAGAUAUCAGGAAGAACACCUAUGGCGAAGGCAGCUCUCUGGGACGGUACUGACGCUGAGACGCGAAAGCGUGGGGAGCGAACAGG